UCAGGGUCCAAAAGAGAGGAGAUGGGGAUUUAGCAGAAGACUUGGGGUGCAGGUGAGGUGCACUGCGAUGGAGAGAGCUGACUGGACCCUGAUCAGGUGUCUUUUGAUAUGUUAAUGAUACGACUUCUGGAACCACCUAUGACUGGGGACUCUAGUUGCUGGGAGAACCAACCAGGUAAUUAGAGGGUUGGAACUUUCAGUGUCGCCUCCCAGCCUCGGGGAGAGGGGCUGGAAACCGAAUCAACUGCCAAUGGCCAAUGAUGGACUCAAUCACGCCUGUGCAUCGAAGCCUCCAUAAACACCACAAGAAGGUUCGGGAGCUUCCAGGAGGACUCUCUGAGAAGGAAGACAUCCUCGGAAGCUUUGAAUCCCUCAUGCCCAUUUGACGGAAAAGGAGAAGCACUGAGAAGUGAGAUCACACGGCGAGCCUGUAAGACAGAGGUCCCACCUGAGCCCCAUCGCCGAGUCUGCAGGGACCUGCCUCCUUCCAGUAAAAUCCUGCAUCGAGAAACCUGGGCUUGGAGGCCAACCUGGUCCAACCAUUUCUCAAGAAAUAAAUGCACUGGUUCCUUUCAGACAAAGAGCACGGCUCUGAGGGGUUUCUGGGCUUUCCUGCCAUCCUGUCCUUUCAUCUUGCACUUUGCAGAUGUACAAGUCUCAAAGCUCCCUCUCCUUACUGAAAAGGGUGGGUCUGAGGAGGGUAAGGGCCUAAAUAAACUGACAGGCACAGAAAUUAGGGAUCAUGGAGCAGCUGGGACGGAAGGAGGGAGGAACCCCUUAAGAAGCAUGUUCCCUCCACAGCCAGCCCCCAGAGAGGGCAGCCCGCAAAAGAAGCAUCCAAAAAAAGAAGCACCCACUAGGGAAGGACACCCAGUAUAUGAGUCCUAUGGUGGGCUGGCCUGGGGGCUGCAAGGGGCUUUUCUCUUUCCUGGCUUGAGUGAACAGGGGGACAUGUGAGACACACUUCUUGGAAGCCCAAGCAUCACAGCAGGCCUUGCAGCUAAGAGAAGUGGCCAAGGGCACAGAGGAGAAGAACAGGCCAAGAGCUGGGAGUCCUGACUCUGUGCUGAGCCUGUUAGACCUUGAGAUACUCAAUCCCAGUCUCUGGGUCUCAGUUUCCCCAUCUGAAAGCAAGGGGGCUGGAAGACACCAUCACUCCUGUUUUCUAUUUCGCAGACAAGCCACUAAGGAGAGGUUUUGCCCUAGCCCAUUCUCGCCUGAGGGAGGACUCGGCUGCUUCCGGUACAAUCUCAAAUCUAGAUGCAGUGGCUUUCUGGCCCAGCCACUCCUCAAGAAAUAAAUGCACUGGUACUGUAGGGAAGAGAAGGAUGGAGAGCGUCCCCACUGGCCCGGCUCUGUGUGGACUGAGGCACCGGCUGGGAAGGACACCUCCGUUCCUGCUGUAAUUUGCCGAGAGGGCCAAACAGCAUGUCUUGGGAGGCCACUGCCCCCUCUGAUUUGGGUACAAACGACAUCGCCAAAGCUUGGAAGCGUGAACCACAGCAGAGACCCAGAUCCCUGCUUCUCCGUUCACGAAAAGGCGAACGCAGACCUCAAAGGGCCCGUAACCUCCAUACGGUCCUGUUAAAAUUUCCAAGUCUCCUAAUGUACGCAAAUACCUUUAAAUCUCACAAUACAAAUAAGGCCAUUCAGGGCAGCAGAACAAGUGCCCCGUGACCUCCUCAGCUAAGUCAUAAAACUUUUGGGCUGGAAUUCCUUUAGCUGCAACAGAGAGAUUGCGUUGAAUUAUCCAGUCUCCCAAGUUGCCCCGACCUCGAUAAUGAUGUACUGCUGAGUCAACAGGCCCUGGGUAAUUAAAAUAUUAAAAUAAUAUCCAUGGGUCCUCGAUUGGUUAUUUUCUCUCCCGUGACAGGUCUGUUGAUAUUGAUAAAGACUGUGGAUAUUGACAAAGGACUAUCAAUACACAUCUCCGUGGCUCAAGUGGAAACCUUGCUCUAACAUACGUACUGGAACGGGGCACCAUGUGCCUGUGGGCUGACUUGGGGCACUGAUCCAGCUUUCUUGCCUCUUUAGCCAACAGGACUAAAUGUUUUCUUUCAAAGAUGUUAUAAAUGGGGGAAUAAGGAGUUUAGUGGAAGACCCAGAAAAAUAAAAGCUGUCCAGCAGCACCAGGGGAGGCAGGAACAGCAGGGUGAAGGAUGAGGGUCCCCUUCACCUCCCCUCUGCCUUCCCCACAGACUCAAAGAGCAAAAUGGGGGUCCAGACCGGAUAUGGGACCCUGCUGUGGCCUUCCAAAUUCUCCAGAUAAGUCCUUCAGAGAAAUAAGGGUGGUUUGUUUUCCCAGAGAAGCAGCACAUGUGAGCCAGUGGUGGAGGGGGAAAGGGGGGGGUAAAAGAAAACCUUUGCCAGAGCGCGCAGCAGGCGGAGCCCCAGCCGGGGCGUCUCUGAUGGAAAGGGUGGCUUGAUGUGGGUCCCCGGGUUCCUCUGAACACGCUCAGGGACAGGCGCGGAGCAGCGCUGCCUGUGUUUGAAGGUAUUUCGCUACAGCAAACACCAGGCGGGGAGGAGAAAAACCCAAACCACUUCAAGUGGAUUUCAAUUUUGAAAGACGCCACAUGA